rnacentral:tRNA from 1 species
AUUAGGAUGGCCGAAAAAAUAGGCAAUAAACUGUAAAUUUAUUUAUGAAAAAUUAUUUCUCCUGAUA